ensembl:lncRNA
UCCCGAAAUACCAGGCUGCUGAACACCAGACUCUCCCUGUAAGCCGCAGGCCAAUUAGUGUGGUGUUUCAGCAUUGUUAUCUGCCUGUCAUGGUGGGUUUCUCCUUCCUUCUCUCUGUUUGUCGAACCACAAACUGCUGCUGCUGAUGGGCCACGGGGCGCCGUGAGAGCCGCAGAGGAGACGGAUGGAGGACAGGAACAGAAAAAGAAGAAUACUGAUGAUCAUUCGCCAAUGGACAUGGAACUGAUGCAACCAUCUGCUAUGAUGUCGAGCAAUAUGGAGGAAACUUCCUUUCAUGUGCCGAGAUGGGAUGAGGGCGUGCCCACACAAACUUUGAUGGAGGGAACCCCACUCCUUCAUCCACCAUGAAUGCUGAUCGGACUUGUAAUCAUCUGCAACAGAGGCUGACAUUAGAUGAGAGUCCUGCAGGACACAUAGAAUCGUCAUGGGACGGGACCGUUGCUGUGCUGUUUGAACGGGACUCGUGCGAGACAAAGCUUAGCCUCAGUCUGGGGAGUGGAUGAAGAACAUUUGCAUGUAAUUACAUGUAACAUUUGGUUAACAGUUAUUUCUGCACGCAUUGGCAUACAUAAUAAUUUGCUCUUUACUUCAGAAAAUCUGUAAUGCAUCUGCCCUAUUUCAUGAAUUGUUGCACAACAAGCCCAGGUUCCAAUGCCCUGGCUUCAACGAGCUUACUUAAACCCAAAUGUAGUUCUCACUAUGGGGAAAAGCUCUGUUAAUGAACAAAAAAACACUCCGGAAAGAGAAAGUCAAAGAAAGGUCUGUCUUGCUUCAGGAUCAGCAACCCUUUAGUUUAGGAUUAGGAGAAGGAUUUGUCGGUUGCAGUUUGCAAAUACAACAUUCAAAGUUGG